CAUUGCCAUUAUGCCAACCUGUUAUACAAAGCAUAAUUUAAACCAUUGUUCUUACAUGAAAAAACUGGUUUCAAAAAUACCAUCUACUGAUAAGAUGGCAGAAGGAUACACACAAUUCUGCAAUCAUAAGGAGGAAAUGAAAGCUUUAUCUUCUUGUUUGAUAAACAGCGGUAUUGCAUUAGAUGUGUAUCACAGAUGUACAGUACCUUACACGCGUGAUAUGAAGGAUAAAGACAGCGACGUCUGCGAGACUAUAGACACAAACACUCGAUGUGUACUUACGCUGAUGAAGACUACUAACUGCAGUGAUAUCAUUGGUACAAACUAUGAACAAUCAAUGAAAUUACAGAAACAGAAUAAUCCAUUUUGCACCAAUGCAUCAGAUCAAAUGUGUAAUGUGUUGUAUCUUGUAAUCAUCAGUUUCGUGCUAAUCUGGAAUAAGAUGGCUUUGAAAAUAUGACAAUAAAUUACCUAAGUUUGAAGCAAA